rnacentral:rRNA from 1 species
UCAGACGAUGCGUCAUGCAUAUCAAUAAGCGGAGGAAAAGAAACUAACAAGGAUUCCCCUAGUAACGGCGAGUGAAGCGGGAAGAGCUCAAAUUUGAAAUCUUAAAGGGUUUCCCUUUACGAAUUGUAGUUUAAAGAAGUGUUUUCUGUUGAGGUUUUGGUAAAAGUUCUUUGGAAUAGGACAUCAUAGAGGGUGAGAAUCCCGUAUUUGACCUUUACUUUCAACUUUGUGAUACACUUUCAAAGAGUCGGGUUGUUUGGGAAUGCAGUCCAAAAUGGGUGGUAAAUUUCAUCUAAAGCUAAAUAUUGGCGAGAGACCGAUAGCGAACAAGUACCGCGAGGGAAAGAUGAAAAGAACUUUGAAAAGAGAGUUAAACAGUACGUGAAAUUGUCAAAAGGGAAGCGUUUGACACCAGUGUUGUUUUUCUGAAAAUCAAUUAAAGAACUGUUUAUGCUAAGCUGUUUAGACUUUAUCAGCUAUCUGUUUAGUUUUGAGCUUUUCUUUAAUGCACUUUUCAGUUAACAAGUCAACAUCAAUUUCUUUUGCUGUAAAAAAGCUUGAGGAAGGUGGCUUGAGAUUCGUCUUAAGUGUUUAUAGCCUCUUGCCUAUGCAGUCGGAGAGAUUGAGGUCUGCAGCGUAGAUCCUUCGGGGCUAAAUGCAUUUGUGCUAAGUUAUAGCAUUUUAUAGACAACUUGUUGACUAUGAUUUGUCUUGUAGCUUACUCGCUUAUGUUAUUUUACCUACGCUUAGGAUGUUGAAUCUGUGCGAGACUAC